UACGUAGGGGGCGAGCGUUGUCCGGAAUUAUUGGGCGUAAAGAGCGUGUAGGCGGUUCGGUAAGUCUGCCGUGAAAACCUGGGGCUCAACCCUGGGCGUGCGGUGGAUACUGCCGGGCUAGAGGGUGGUAGAGGCGAGUGGAAUUCCCGGUGUAGCGGUGAAAUGCGCAGAUAUCGGGAGGAACACCAAUUGCGAAGGCAGCUCGCUGGGACGUGACUGACGCUGAGACGCGAAAGCGUGGGGAGCAAACAGGG
rnacentral:rRNA from 1 species